rnacentral:rRNA from 1 species
UAACGAAUCUUCCGCAAUGCACGAAAGUGUGACGGAGCGACGCCGCGUGGAGGACGAAGUUCUUCGGAAUGUAAACUCCUGUCAGGGGUUCGAAAGUUCUGAUCAACCCCAGAGGAAGAGACGGCUAACUCUGUGCCAGCAGCCGCGGUAAGACAGAGGUCUCAAGCGUUAGGCGGAAUCACUGGGCUUAAAGCGUGUGUAGGCGGAUGCCUAAGUACUUUGUGAAAUCCCACGGCUUAACCGUGGAACUGCUUGGUAUACUGGGUGUCUUGAGCCAACUAGGGGCAGUCGGAACUAACGGUGGAGCGGUGAAAUGCGUAGAUAUCGUUAGGAACGCCAAUGGUGAAAACAGACUGCUGGGGUUGUGCUGACGCUGAGACACGAAAGCCAGGGGAUCAAACGGGAUUAGAUACCCCCGUAGUCC